rnacentral:siRNA from 1 species
UACAAUCUUAUGUUGCAGUUGGU